rfam:Dokdonella koreensis DS-123, complete genome.
GGGGGUGUCCUGGCUUCGACGGGGGUAGUGAGAUAGCUUGGUGCAUGCCGAGGGGGCCGCUUUCCUCGUUAAUCCAGCUGCAAACUUAUAGUUGCCAACGACGACAACUACGCUCUCGCCGCUUAAGGCGUAAGCCGGGAACCCACUUGUGCUCGUGCUCGUGGGUGUACCGUCACUAUCACGGGAUCGCCGCUGCCUGUUGCCUGACGGGUCAGCGGUCAAAUCAAGCAGGCUGGUCCACCGGCGCGCUUCGCACACCGUGCUGCCGGCAGACGAGACUCAACGGUGAGCUAAGCAUGUAGUACUGGGCGUCAAGCGCCUUCGGACGCGGGUUCGACUCCCGCCACCUCCACCA